AUAGGACGUCCAACUUAACUUGGAGUCCGAACUCUCACUUUCUAACCCUGUGCACUUGUUUGGGAUAGUAACUCUCGCAAGAGAGCGAACUCCUAUUCACUUAUAAACACAAAGUCUAUGAAUGUAUUAAAUUUUAUAACAAAAUAAAACUUUCAACAACGGAUCUCUUGGCUCUCGCAUCGAUGAAGAACGCAGCGAAAUGCGAUAAGUAAUGUGAAUUGCAGAAUUCAGUGAAUCAUCGAAUCUUUGAACGCACCUUGCGCUCCAUGGUAUUCCGUGGAGCAUGCCUGUUUGAGUGUCAUGAAUACUUCAACCCUCCUCUUUCUUAAUGAUUGAAGAGGUGUUUGGUUUCUGAGCGCUGCUGGCCUUUACGGUCUAGCUCGUUCGUAAUGCAUUAGCAUCCGCAAUCGAACUUCGGAUUGACUUGGCGUAAUAGACUAUUCGCUGAGGAAUUCUAGUCUUCGGAUUAGAGCCGGGUUGGGUUAAAGGAAGCUUCUAAUCAGAAUGUCUACAUUUUAAGAUUAGAUCUCAAAUCAGGUAGGACUACCCGCUGAACUUAAGCAUAUCAAUAAGCGGAGGAAAAGAAACUAACAAGGAUUCCCCUAGUAGCGGCGAGCGAAGCGGGAAGAGCUCAAAUUUAUAAUCUGGCACCUUCGGUGUCCGAGUUGUAAUCUCUAGAAAUGUUUUCCGCGUUGGACCGCACACAAGUCUGUUGGAAUACAGCGGCAUAGUGGUGAGACCCCCGUAUAUGGUGCGGACGCCCAGCGCUUUGUGAUACAUUUUCGAAGAGUCGAGUUGUUUGGGAAUGCAGCUCAAAUUGGGUGGUAAAUUCCAUCUAAAGCUAAAUAUUGGCGAGAGACCGAUAGCGAACAAGUACCGUGAGGGAAAGAUGAAAAGCACUUUGGAAAGAGAGUUAACAGUACGUGAAAUUGUUGGAAGGGAAACGCUUGAAGUCAGACUUGCUUGCCGAGCAAUCGGUUUGCAGGCCAGCAUCAGUUUUCCGGGAUGGAUAAUGGUAGAGAGAAGGUAGCAGUUUCGGCUGUGUUAUAGCUCUCUGCUGGAUACAUCUUGGGGGACUGAGGAACGCAGUGUGCCUUUGGCGGGGGUUUCGACC
rnacentral:rRNA from 1 species